CAGUGGUUGCAGAAUCAAGCCCUAUCAGUGGGGGAAGCGAAGAAGACUUUAAGCUGGAAAGGCAGGGACAGAGGUGUCUCCUGAGUUACCGUCUUUCUCCUUGGAUGAGAAAGGGAUAUGCAGAGAACCACAGUACUCUACCCAUCUCUUUUACCACAAAAGGGGUCAAGUUUCCCCAUGGCUUGAUCAUUCCUUGGCCCUCUGCUGAGUUAGGAAUGAGGAGAGAAAUGUCCCCAUGAGUGUUUUCCCUCUUUAAAUAGGUAAAAGAAACAAAUGCUGUCAAGUUUCCCUGUUUACCCCUACUCCUGGGGUGGGCAAGGGAGGUAAGAGAUGAUAGAUAACGAGGGUAGGUGGAGGAUUAACUAAGUUAGGGAGAAUGGAGGCAGAACAGGAAAUGCAAGGUGCUAGGAACAUGGGAGAAGAGGAGAGAAGAAAUGGAACACAGGUAGUGGAAAAAUCAGAAAAGCAUUUGGGGGGAAAAUUGAAGAAAUAGUCUUAGAAUUUAACAUUGUAGGAAAACAGACAUUGCCAAAAAAGUGCAAAGGAUAUACCAAAAUAUACUAUGUAGUCUGAACCUCCUAAAAAUGUCCUUAGCUUUGGAGAAGUUCCUGACAAAAAUUGUCUGCCCUACCAGACUGAAUUGUAUUUUUUAAGUAUUCUGUAUGCACUGUUUUUGUAGCCAUGUUUGUCCCUGUGUAGGUAUUCUGUGUAAACCUCGCCUAUAAAAGCCUGGCACUGAGCAACAAAAGCUGAAAAUGGGUAAUGUGCACAGGGGAGUCUCUAAGACAUUUUGCCGCCCCAAGCACGGCAGGCUGCCUGCCGCCCUCGUGGCAACCAGCAGAGCCACUCCACGCAGCUUGCUGCCACAAGCACACGCUUGGCAUGCUGGGGCCUGGAGCUGCCCCUGAAUGUGCACCCAAACCAGCGAAUAAAUUUGCAGCCUGCUAGUAACUUUUUUCUGUAACUUUUACGCACUUAAGGCUCUCUGUGCAGUUGGGCCUUGGAGCAAUACUGUGUCUUGUGCUUUUUCAAAGAGCCAAAAUUCCCUAGUUCCUGGAUAUUUCCAGAGCACUGAGAGAGUGACUUCGGAGAGCAGUUGCUGACAAUUUCAGGGUUCCCUUAACUCAUAAGGAUAGGCCCCUACUAAGCAUUUUUAAUUUGGGACAGAUCUGGGAGCAAGAUGUCUUAAAAAACUAAGUGGUAUUAAAUCAUCAAAAAUCGGUGUUCACCAAAGAAAGCUGAUAUACAUUUCUCCCCCCCCACCAUUUCAUGUAAUUCAGGUAGUUCAUUUUAUAGAUUUACCCACUGGCUGGCUGGAAUAAGAGGGCAAACUAGUUGAGAUUCAGUCCAGAUAGGAAGCAUGCUCAUUGUCUGGGGCAAACUACCAGUAAAACAUCAACAAUAAUAUCAGCUCUCUUCUGCUAAAGGGCUGUUGGUCUUACUGGAUCCUCAGCUGUUUCUUGUAGUGGCCAAGAAUAUUUUGUAUCAUCUAUGCUAGGUCAGGAAGUUGUGACCUUUUCUUUGGGAUGUCACCACCAUAAUUCAUGCCUUUGUCACCUCCAGAUUGUAUUACCUCAACAUCCUACAUGCUUUAAUACCACCCGGAAAUUACAGCUAGUGCAGAAUGUGGCAGCUUGUGUGCUUGGCAACAGUGCGGAGCACUUCACACCUGUACUGAUAAUCAGUCAACACUAGCUUCCUAUUAAUUUCCACAUUAAUUUAAGAUGUUUUUAAUUUAUAAAGCCCUAAAAUGGUGUAGGUCAUAGGUAGCUCUGGAACUACCUCUUCAACUACGACUCCAGCUAUGACAGCUAAAAUCCACUGAAACACUUUAACCUAACAUCCCUCUAAUUCUGUCAGGAAGGGACUGAAGGCAAUGGUUUUUUUAGUGAAAUAAUCUCAACUUUGAAAUGUGUUGUCUCCAUUGAUCCACCAGAGCCCAGAUUUGUUGAUCAUCAGGUCACUCAGCAAAGCUCACCUCUUUUUCUGCCUGGCUUUUUCUGAGAAGGUGGACUGUAUUGGAAGUUGGGGCAGUUUUAACCUUAGUGGACUUGGGUGAAUUUCAUAUUUUGGGUAUUGGUCCUAAUUUUUAUGUUUAAUACUUUGCACAAGAGUCUAGAGCUUCAGAAAUGUCUGUCCAUAAAUUCAGGUGCACAUUCUUGAAGUCUUUCAAAAUUUCCAUCACAAAGUACCACAAGUUAAAAAAAUAAAACUGGAGAGAGGCAUGGAUCUGAGUCAGAUGUAUUUGUAUUACUUUAUCUCAAGGGGCCUAUGUAAACUGAAGGCACUUUUUUUAAAAGCCUAGGAGAAACCCUGAAAUUAAAAGAUCUGGGUUAAUAUCAGGAGUUGAGACAUUACUCCUUAUUCGUUACCCAUUGUAGUUCUCAAGAUCUUUCCAAACAAAUGUAAUAGAUAUUAGUAGACUCUUGGGAGAUUCCAUAAAGCAGAUCUAAUACUGAACAAGAAGUGUUAAAGAUGGUUUUUGCACAGACAGGUUGUUAAUUUAUCCCAUUUCUUAAUAUGUCUGUUCUAAAGCCAAGAAAGCAUAAAGUAUUGUUUGCAAACGCUUUGUUCUUGAUGUUAAGCCUAAUCUCUUGUCCCAUUAUUCAAAUUCUUUACUUUCAGCCUAACUCAAGAUCUUCAUCUCUAUUCAUUUAUGCUUUUUGAGCAAUGGUGGCCUAUUGGUUAGCUGAACUGGUGCAAACAGCACUGAUUAAUAAAUCCCAUUAAGCAGGGGAACUAAUCGUUACAUUUUUCUGUUUGAUGGUUCUGUGAGGCUCAUUGCAAGUGUUGCAUUGAUUUUAUUUUAUUUUAUUUUAUUUUUCUUCUCUAAGUGCUAAUGUCUUCCUCACAUUUAUGACCCUUGUGCUCCAUGCUGUUUGUUAAUAUUUUUCUAUCUAGUCCCUUUAGGUAUUUGCCUUUAUUAAAACUGUAUUCAAUAAAAAUUAAUAUUAAAUGUCAA